GAGGGUAUAGCUCAAAUGGUAGAGUGCAUGCUUAGCAUGCACGAGGUCCUGGGUUCAAUCCCCAGUACCUCCU
rnacentral:tRNA from 1 species